AGCGUACACGGUGGAUGCCUAGGCAGUCAGAGGCGAUGAAGGGCGUGCUAAUCUGCGAAAAGCGUCGGUAAGCUGAUAUGAAGCGUUAUAACCGACGAUACCCGAAUGGGGAAACCCAGUGCAAUUCGUUGCACUAUCGUUAGAUGAAUACAUAGUCUAACGAGGCGAACCGGGGGAACUGAAACAUCUAAGUACCCCGAGGAAAAGAAAUCAACCGAGAUUCCCCCAGUAGCGGCGAGCGAACGGGGAAGAGCCCAGAGUCUGAAUCAGGUUGUGUGUUAGUGGAAGCGUCUGGAAAGUCGCACGGUACAGGGUGAUAGUCCCGUACACCAAAACAUACUUCCUGUGAACUCGAUGAGUAGGGCGGGACACGUGACAUCCUGUCUGAAUAUGGGGGGACCAUCCUCCAAGGCUAAAUACUCCUGACUGACCGAUAGUGAACCAGUACCGUGAGGGAAAGGCGAAAAGAACCCCGGCGAGGGGAGUGAAAUAGAACCUGAAACCGUGUACGUACAAGCAGUGGGAGCACCUUCGUGGUGUGACUGCGUACCUUUUGUAUAAUGGGUCAGCGACUUAUAUUUUGUAGCAAGGUUAACCGAAUAGGGGAGCCGUAGGGAAACCGAGUCUUAACUGGGCGUCUAGUUGCAAGGUAUAGACCCGAAACCCGGUGAUCUAGCCAUGGGCAGGUUGAAGGUUGGGUAACACUAACUGGAGGACCGAACCGACUAAUGUUGAAAAAUUAGCGGAUGACUUGUGGCUGGGGGUGAAAGGCCAAUCAAACCGGGAGAUAGCUGGUUCUCCCCGAAAGCUAUUUAGGUAGCGCCUCGUGAACUCAUCUUCGGGGGUAGAGCACUGUUUCGGCUAGGGGGUCAUCCCGACUUACCAAACCGAUGCAAACUCCGAAUACCGAAGAAUGUUAUCACGGGAGACACACGGCGGGUGCUAACGUCCGUCGUGAAGAGGGAAACAACCCAGACCGCCAGCUAAGGUCCCAAAGUCAUGGUUAAGUGGGAAACGAUGUGGGAAGGCAUAGACAGCCAGGAUGUUGGCUUAGAAGCAGCCAUCAUUUAAAGAAAGCGUAAUAGCUCACUGGUCGAGUCGGCCUGCGCGGAAGAUGUAACGGGGCUAAACCAUGCACCGAAGCUGCGGCAGCGACGCUUAGGCGUUGUUGGGUAGGGGAGCGUUCUGUAAGCCGUUGAAGGUGGUCUGUGAGGGCUGCUGGAGGUAUCAGAAGUGCGAAUGCUGACAUAAGUAACGAUAAUGCGGGUGAAAAACCCGCACGCCGGAAGACCAAGGGUUCCUGUCCAACGUUAAUCGGGGCAGGGUGAGUCGACCCCUAAGGCGAGGCUGAAAAGCGUAGUCGAUGGGAAACAGGUUAAUAUUCCUGUACUUGGUGUUACUGCGAAGGGGGGACGGAGAAGGCUAGGCUAGCCGGGCGACGGUUGUCCCGGUUUAAGCAUGUAGGCGGAGUGACUUGGUAAAUCCGGUUGCUUAUCAACGCUGAGGUGUGAUGACGAUGCACUACGGUGCAGAAGUAGUUGAUGCCAUGCUUCCAGGAAAAGCCUCUAAGCAUCAGGUAACACGAAAUCGUACCCCAAACCGACACAGGUGGUCAGGUAGAGAAUACUCAGGCGCUUGAGAGAACUCGGGUGAAGGAACUAGGCAAAAUGGUGCCGUAACUUCGGGAGAAGGCACGCUGGCGCUAGGUGAAGAGACUUGCUCUCGGAGCUGAAGCCAGUCGCAGAUACCAGCUGGCUGCAACUGUUUAAUAAAAACACAGCACUGUGCAAACACGAAAGUGGACGUAUACGGUGUGACGCCUGCCCGGUGCUGGAAGGUUAAUUGAUGGGGUCAGCCGCAAGGCGAAGCUCUUGAUCGAAGCCCCAGUAAACGGCGGCCGUAACUAUAACGGUCCUAAGGUAGCGAAAUUCCUUGUCGGGUAAGUUCCGACCUGCACGAAUGGCGUAAUGAUGGCCAGGCUGUCUCCACCCGAGACUCAGUGAAAUUGAACUCGCUGUGAAGAUGCAGUGUACCCGCGGCAAGACGGAAAGACCCCGUGAACCUUUACUAUAGCUUGACACUGAACAUUGAGCCUUGAUGUGUAGGAUAGGUGGGAGGCAUUGAAGUGUGGACGCCAGUCUGCAUGGAGCCAACCUUGAAAUACCACCCUUUAAUGUUUGAUGUUCUAACUCGGCCCCGUAAUCCGGGGUGAGGACAGUGUCUGGUGGGUAGUUUGACUGGGGCGGUCUCCUCCCAAAGAGUAACGGAGGAGCACGAAGGUUAGCUAAUCACGGUCGGACAUCGUGAGGUUAGUGCAAAGGCAUAAGCUAGCUUGACUGCGAGAGUGACGGCUCGAGCAGGUACGAAAGUAGGUCUUAGUGAUCCGGUGGUUCUGAAUGGAAGGGCCAUCGCUCAACGGAUAAAAGGUACUCCGGGGAUAACAGGCUGAUACCGCCCAAGAGUUCAUAUCGACGGCGGUGUUUGGCACCUCGAUGUCGGCUCAUCACAUCCUGGGGCUGAAGUAGGUCCCAAGGGUAUGGCUGUUCGCCAUUUAAAGUGGUACGCGAGCUGGGUUUAGAACGUCGUGAGACAGUUCGGUCCCUAUCUGCCGUGGGCGUUGGAAGAUUGAGAGGGGCUGCUCCUAGUACGAGAGGACCGGAGUGGACGAAUCACUGGUGUUCGGGUUGUCAUGCCAAUGGCAUUGCCCGGUAGCUAAAUUCGGAAGAGAUAACCGCUGAAAGCAUCUAAGCGGGAAACUUGCCUCGAGAUGAGUCUUCCCUGGGGCUUUAAGCCCCCUGAAGGAACGUUAAAGACGAUGACGUUGA
rnacentral:rRNA from 1 species